rnacentral:rRNA from 1 species
UACGAAGGGGGCUAGCGUUGUUCGGAAUUACUGGGCGUAAAGCGCCCGUAGGCGGACUAUUAAGUCAGGGGUGAAAUCCCGGGGCUCAACCCCGGAACUGCCUUUGAUACUGGUAGUCUCGAGUCCGGAAGAGGUGAGUGGAAUUCCGAGUGUAGAGGUGAAAUUCGUAGAUAUUCGGAGGAACACCAGUGGCGAAGGCGGCUCACUGGUCCGGUACUGACGCUGAGGUGCGAAAGCGUGGGGAGCAAACAGG